rnacentral:rRNA from 1 species
CCUACGGGUGGCAGCAGUGGGGAAUAUUGCACAAUGGGGGAAACCCUGAUGCAGCGACGCCGCGUGAGUGAAGAAGUAUCUCGGUACGUAAAGCUCUAUCAGCAGGGAAGAAAAUGACGGUACCUGACUAAGAAGCACCGGCUAACUACGUGCCAGCAGCCGCGGGAAUACGUAGGGGGCAAGCGUUAUCCGGAUUUACUGGGUGGAAAGGGAGCGUAGACGGCAGAGCAAGUCUGGAGUGAAAUGCCGGGGCUUAACCCCGGAACUGCUUUGGAAACUGUGCGGCUGGAGUGCAGGAGGGGUAAGCGGAAUUCCUAGUGUAGCGGUGAAAUGCGUAGAGAUUAGGAGGAACACCAGUGGCGAAGGCGGCUUACUGGACUGUAACUGACGUUGAGGCUCGAAAGCGUGGGGAGCAAACAGGAUUAGAUACCCGAGUAGUC